ensembl:snoRNA
UGUGUGGUGAUGAUCUGCGCAGGGGUACGGACCUCAGCCAGUGAUGGGGGCUGAGCGCUGCUGCAGGAACCCAUCAGAGCGUGUGGUUCUGAUGGACCGGCAGCAGAGCGACACAGACGCCUGUCUGAACACG